rnacentral:rRNA from 1 species
UUUUAUGAGAGUUUGAUCCUGGCUCAGGACGAACGCUGGCGGCGUGCCUAAUACAUGCAAGUCGAACGCUUCUUUUUCCACCGGAGCUUGCUCCACCGGAAAAAGAGGAGUGGCGAACGGGUGAGUAACACGUGGGUAACCUGCCCAUCAGAAGGGGAUAACACUUGGAAACAGGUGCUAAUACCGUAUAACAAUCAAAACCGCAUGAUUUUGAUUUGAAAGGCGCUUUCGGGUGUCGCUGAUGGAUGGACCCGCGGUGCAUUAGCUAGUUGGUGAGGUAACGGCUCACCAAGGCCACGAUGCAUAGCCGACCUGAGAGGGUGAUCGGCCACAUUGGGACUGAGACACGGCCCAAACUCCUACGGGAGGCAGCAGUAGGGAAUCUUCGGCAAUGGACGAAAGUCUGACCGAGCAACGCCGCGUGAGUGAAGAAGGUUUUCGGAUCGUAAAACUCUGUUGUUAGAGAAGAACAAGGAUGAGAGUAACUGUUCAUCCCUUGACGGUAUCUAACCAGAAAGCCACGGCUAACUACGUGCCAGCAGCCGCGGUAAUACGUAGGUGGCAAGCGUUGUCCGGAUUUAUUGGGCGUAAAGCGAGCGCAGGCGGUUUCUUAAGUCUGAUGUGAAAGCCCCCGGCUCAACCGGGGAGGGUCAUUGGAAACUGGGAGACUUGAGUGCAGAAGAGGAGAGUGGAAUUCCAUGUGUAGCGGUGAAAUGCGUAGAUAUAUGGAGGAACACCAGUGGCGAAGGCGGCUCUCUGGUCUGUAACUGACGCUGAGGCUCGAAAGCGUGGGGAGCAAACAGGAUUAGAUACCCUGGUAGUCCACGCCGUAAACGAUGAGUGCUAAGUGUUGGAGGGUUUCCGCCCUUCAGUGCUGCAGCUAACGCAUUAAGCACUCCGCCUGGGGAGUACGACCGCAAGGUUGAAACUCAAAGGAAUUGACGGGGGCCCGCACAAGCGGUGGAGCAUGUGGUUUAAUUCGAAGCAACGCGAAGAACCUUACCAGGUCUUGACAUCCUUUGACCACUCUAGAGAUAGAGCUUCCCCUUCGGGGGCAAAGUGACAGGUGGUGCAUGGUUGUCGUCAGCUCGUGUCGUGAGAUGUUGGGUUAAGUCCCGCAACGAGCGCAACCCUUAUUGUUAGUUGCCAUCAUUCAGUUGGGCACUCUAGCAAGACUGCCGGUGACAAACCGGAGGAAGGUGGGGAUGACGUCAAAUCAUCAUGCCCCUUAUGACCUGGGCUACACACGUGCU